AUGUUAACGACGUCCAUUCAAUCUGACUGUAGCCUACAUGGGUUUAAUUUGACUCAAUGGAGGAUGAGUUCCUCUGGGGAUACACACGUUGAUCAUCAUCUUGCUGUUCCUGCUCCUUUCCUGUCGUCUUAUAGCAAACUCUUGUGCACCCUCUGGUGCUUGCUAGUCUCCAAAACUUAUUUGUGUUGCCUGCUUUGCAGAUUGUCUUCCUUGUCUCUGUGGUUGCUCAUUAUUCAGAGACAGGCGGAUCUCAGGUCAUCUGCAGCUGCAGCAACGGAGAAGCAGGAAAGAUGGCGAUCAUCCAUUAGACCGGACGCACGCAUGAAAUACAGGACAACUUUCAGGAAGAAGAUCGCUUCUCCACCAGAAGAAGACAUACCUGUUCGACAGAGUUAAACUAUGACUGAAGGAAUGGCAUUCCUUGUCACUCAGUCAGAAGAAAACAAGGUGUGCUCCUCCUUGUGUGCCUGCCUGCUUGCAUGUUCAUGCUCUCCUACAGACUCACUCACACUGGCCACCGUGAAAUCUUGCUGACAAGGAGACAGAGCUAGACACACUCUGCGACAACUGUGGGCUAGGAGGCAAUCAAAAUGGUGGCGCUAGUCUCGGUCUCUCAUGUCAUGUCAAGGGAACCAGUUUCUCAAGGUGGAGCUAGCUGGAUGUUUGGACUGAAAAUAUGAAGGCUAGUGGUUGAGAAAUGUGUUUCUCAGAUAGCUUCAGAGCAGGUUCUUGUGUUUGCUGGGAAAUUAUGUUCUUGCUAGAUAUCUUGUUAGACUUCACACUGUAGUUCCUGUGUAAUCUUUUACAGACACAUCUUAUGCAAUGCAUAAUCGCUUCCUCUCUGAAGGAUACUGUUACAGCCCAGGUUGCCUGCGUUAUAAUAUAMUAUGAUCACAAUUCAUCACUGUGCUAAACAACUUGUCAUUUCAGUCCACUAGCAACAUGUUUCCUUAGUAUUACUCGCACUAGAGUAUUCUUGGAUUUCCACAAUAACUAAAAUAUAAUAGAUGAAAAAAAAACAUCUGUAUUUUCCACAUUUCUUUAAAUAACAUCUUCCUGGUCUAUAAUGCAAAGACUAACUGAUAAAACAUCUAUUUGAAGUGAACUUCAUGUCUAUUUUUUACUCCCAAAUCUCACUUUAUUACACAAUACUACUACUAGCCUAACUGGUGGUUUGUUCAAGACCACAGGUUGUGUGAUUAGUUUACAACUAUAGAGGUCAGAGGGCAUGGCAUUAUUGAAGGAUUUUUUAUUUAUUUUUUUACUUCAGCGUUAAUCCUGAUAUAUAUUUUGUUUGUCGUUGUACUCAUUACUAAUAGUACAAUGUUUAGUUCAAAUAUUUGUGGACUGCUGUAGCAAGGAUCAGGAUUAAGCCACAAAGCGCUUCAAAGUCUCUCCAAAUUAAACAAGGUGACUUUUAAGUUCCUAUACAAGUAUUGAUAUUAGGUAGAUGUUUUAUCCCUAUUUAGUUGUAAGCGGAGCCAUUUAUUUAGUUAGAGAGUUCGGCCAACUUUUAGAACAGCCGCCAUGUUCGCACCUUUAAGCAUUCCAUUCAUCCAUCAUCAGUGUUUCUACGACGGGUUGGUCAAAACCCAUACACUGUACAUAUAUUUUAUUGUGUUAUUGACUGUACGUUUAUGUGUAACUGUGUUGUUUUUGUCGCACUGCUUUGCUUUAUCUUGGCCAGGGCGCAGUUGUAAAUAAGAUCCUUUUCUCAACAGGCCUACCUGGUUAAAUAAAGGUGAAAAAAAACAAGGAUUGAUAGGUUGAGACUCGUUUGUUUGACCUGACAAAGGUCCGUUUCGGAUCAAAACGUUGUCAGUGAAUUGGGAGCUUAAAGAGUGUGCGGGCCUUCUUGUUCUUUACUGAGACGUGUUCAAAGCCAUACUAAAUAUCCCGUUUAGCACGAGUAAGCCUAUGACGCCAUAAUGGGAAUCUUGUUUUCUGUUCCAUUUGAGAAAUCUCUGCGCAUCCAGGGGGUUUGUACAAACCUUGUUGUCUGACUCUCAACAUUUGCAACAUUGUUUCAAUAUUGAAAUUCGAUCUUCAGUGUCCUAUUGAGAAUUAACGUGUCAGGACAUCUUUUCUCAGCCAGUAGAAAUCAUGAAUAAGCAAGAAAUGUCAAUACAAAAAGAGGUCAAAUGAAAUGAAAUUCAGCUACUUUGCUGUUAUUCUAGCUGCACUGUUUGACCUGACCGUGUUAGCCAUAGUUGGCUAGCUAGCAAGCAAUGGAUAAGUGCGUUGCCAGACAGCAUGGCAACAGAACAUUUAGAACAAACGACUGGGUCACGUCCAUAGAUAUAGAACUAAAAGACUUUGCGACUAGGUAGUGUCUCUGGCAACCAAACUGAUAGAAUGAACUGCCAGCCGGCUUGGCUAACAACCAUAAAUGUGUCAGGAUUAGGCCUAUAUUUUAAUUGAGGGAUGAAAUAGUAGCCUAUGAAUACAUUUCUCAAAAUAUUUGUAUUUAUUUAAUUGGUAACCCGUUGUAGAAAAGCAAUUGUACACUCGAGGUUGUGCAAAGCAACUUUUUUUAGCACGGUUGUGCUUGGCACACCCUGACCUAAGAGAGAGCCUUUUUAUUUCUCUAUUUGGUUAGGUCAGGGUGUGAUUUGGGUGGGCAUUCUAUGUUUUCUAUUUCUUUGUUUUUGGCCGAGUGUGGUUCCCAAUCAGAGGCAGCUGUCUAUCGUUGUCUCUGAUUGGGGAUCAUAUAUAAGUUGUUUUCCGUUUGGGUUUUGUGGGAUCUUGUUUUCUGUAUAGUUUCUUUGCCUUGCAGAACUGUGCGCUUUUUUGUUUGUCGUUGUUAUUUUGCUUUUGGUAUCAUCAAGAAAAAAAUUGAUGUACGCCUACCACGCUGCACCUUGGUCUGGUCAUUCCACAAACGAGAGCCGUUACAGUGCUGUACUCUGCGGACCGCAGCACAGCCAUGCAAGAUUAAUUGCUUAGCACUCCCUCUCGUGUACAAUUGCUUUUUUGGAAUCUUGUGCAUAGCAUUGUUUACAUUCUGUGAACUGCUAUUGGUCAAUAUUGCCCAUGGUGAGCUAACAUGGCUGCCAUGACAUGUAGUGUCGGGUAAAUGCAUCAUAAUGCAGAAAUCUCAUUGUCCCAACUUUCUAAACACAUGGCUCUGGUUGUAAGGGAUCUACUGUUGUGAACAUUAGUCCAGUUCUUAUAACAAUCAGAUAUGCAACAUAAAGAGGGACGUUAGAGAACAGCUCAGAAACUUUGAAAAAUGGCACAGCAGGAUUUGAAGGUUAGGUAUUUAAGGAUUACAGAAAGAAAGCCUCCAUUUAUACUGAACAAAAAUAUAAACACAACAUGUAAAGUGUUAUUCCCAUGUUUUAUGAGCUGAAAUAAAAGAUCCCAGAAAUGUUCCAUAUUCACAAAAAGCUUAUUUCUCAAAGAUUGUGUGCACAAAUGUGUUUACAUCCCUGAUAGUGAACAAUUCUCCUUUGCCAAAAUAAUCCAUCCACCUGACAGGUGUGGCAUAUCAAGAAGCUGAUUAAACAUC
rnacentral:lncRNA from 1 species